UGCACAAUGUUUUAAAAUGUACCUUAAAUAAUGAAUGUUUCUUUGUUCCUCUAGUUGGGUUUUCUAGUCUUUAAUGUCUCAGAAUGCAAUGCCACCUUGCUAUCAGAAAAUGAUGUCCUAUUUUCUAUGCUGUGCUAUGUAUCCUAGCUGCAUUGCCCCACCUGCCAUCCCCCCCAGAUUGCCCCCCAGUAACUCCCCCAGUGUGCCCCCCAAUAACUCCCGCAGUAUGUUCCCAAGUAACUUCCCCACUAUGCCCCCCUGGAUGGCACUCAUUGAAGGGAAGCUGCUACUGGGUUUCUUGUACGCAAAGGACGUGGUUGCAUGCUAGGACCAGAUGUGAGUCGAACGGCGCGGAUCUCGUGAUUAUCAAUGAUGAAACAGAAUGGAGUUUCUUGUCCGGUCUUGUGGAAACGAGCAGCACAUGGAUUGGCUUAAAUGUUAAACACAAUAACUACUCUCAGUCUCUGAAGUGGGUGGAUGGAAGCGAAAUGACCUUUAGACCCAAUAACCAUUUUUACCAAGGGACCAGUCAGGAGAGUUGCAUGUAUAUGAACGCAAGUCUGUACUACUCAAGCGUUUGCGACCAAAAACGUGGUUGGAUCUGUGAGAUGAAGUUGAAUAAAUAGUCCUACUUGUGUGCAUAAGUAAAAAUGUUUUUGCCAAGAAAUUUUCCACUUAUUUUAUGCAGAGACUUAUUCCAUCCCUAACCUUAGCAAUAAUCAUUUCCUGGGUGUUUAAUGUCUGUUUUAAUAAUGUUUUUUAUCAUUGCAGAAAGUAGCUGUAGACCUUUUUGUUUUUGUCUGUUAUACUUUUUUUCUGAAUUAUAAGCUGUUUUGAUAAUAGGUAAUUGCU